rnacentral:misc_RNA from 1 species
ACAAGAUCUGGAGAAAGAAAGAAUGAAAAGGAAACAGAUCGAGGAAAUGUAAUCAGCUACUCUAGCAAAACAAAUUAUAACUAUUCUAGCAAUUAAAAGCCCGUAUGAGCUAUUUUAAUCUCACAACACAUGCUGAAAUGCUGCUCGAUAAGUAGUUGAGAUUUAAGACUGCAAUGUCUAUACUUUCUACUUUCAAAUCUACUAAUUCAUUCCUAUGAACUACACUUUCAAAUGACUGAGAUAAAGGCAUAUUCGUGAGUCCCAAAACUACAAAAUCAAGUUAACUAAAGCUGAAGCCCAUCAGUAACAGAUAGGAGGCUAGAUACGAAGAUGAAACAAUAAAACAUUCUUACCCUUCCAUUUCUGAUCCAAAUUACGUUCAAUCAACUUAAGUGUACAAUAAAAUAUGACCUAUAUUCCACUAGAAAUGGAGCCUAUCAACUUAGAUGUUGCAAUAAGCAUUCAAAAUGUCAUGGUCAGCUUUCAUUUAUAAAACCCCAAAAUGCAUUCCAAACAGUCAGAGAGAAGACUCUUAGAUAAUCAAAGACGAAAAAUAAAAGCAGCUACCAAAACGGAAACAAGAAAAAUCCCAAAAUUAUGAUUCCCAACAAAUCAUCAUUAAGCACUAAAAGGGACAAGUAAAAAUUCAAUAUAAAUCUAAAAAUCAAAUGGCAAGAAAUAGAAAGAAAAGAAGAAUGUAAAAAAUAAUAAUAA